GUCAGGUUGAUCGAGCGGUCUAAGAUGCUAGACUCAAGUUCUAGUCUCCUUCUGGAGGCGUGGGUUCGAAUCCCACACCUGACA